rnacentral:rRNA from 1 species
UACAGAGGGGGCAAGCGUUGUUCGGAAUUACUGGGCGUAAAGGGCGCGUAGGCGGCCCGCUAAGUCGAACGUGAAAUCCCCAGGCUUAACCUGGGAACUGCGUCCGAUACUGGCAGGCUUGAAUCCGGGAGAGGGAUGUGGAAUUCCAGGUGUAGCGGUGAAAUGCGUAGAUAUCUGGAGGAAUACCGGUGGCGAAGGCGGCAUCCUGGACCGGCAUUGACGCUGAGGAGCGAAAGCUAGGGGAGCAAACGGG